UAUUCUGCUCUCGGUCUCCUCCUCGCCUCUCUUAUCCAUCUUCUUCACCACUCAAGCGAAACUGAAAAAAAGAAAACUCAGAAGAAAUCAAUUAAAUCAUUUCUCUGAAACCCAACCCCUUUCCCCGUCUUCAGUAAACCUUAGAUGUUAAAAUCCCUCAACUCAUUGGUCAAGUUAUAAAUCUCAAAUCUGCUGGGAACAGAUUCAAUCGAAGUUUUUUUUGUUUUCAUUCUAGGGUUUCUCUAACUAUAUCUAAAUAAAAUCUUAUGAAUGAUUACUGCUACAGCUUUUGCUUUUCUAGGGUUUGAGAAUCUGGAGCCGUUCUUUGAAGAUUUAGAUUGAUUGGAGUCUAGUCUUCAAUUCAAUUGAAGAUGAAUAUUUUGAUUUAAAUUAAUUGAAAAUCCUCAGAGGGAUUAUAUUGAAUUCUACCAGUGGAUAUCAAUUUAUAUGUAGAGCUUUUGGUGGGUUUUAUCUUAGUUACAGAGGCUGUAAGGUAAUUGAAAGAAAAUCUGAGUUGGUUAGGAUAGGAGAUCAUGUUUGAACUAUUGGAUGAAGAAGCAUAUGACAUGGAUGAUGUUGUUGGAUGUUUUGAAUAUUAUGCAGAACUUGUUGGAGGCCUAGAUGCAAAACACAAGGUUCCUGUCAACAUUCCAAUGGAGAAAUUUAAGAACCAUGUUCGUUGGGAACCCAUUGGAAUCGAUAAGAAGCUAGUAUAAGAUUUCAAUUUGACUUUCUGUUAUAAUUUUGGUACUUCAAGAAGAUGUAGUUUUGUGGAUGCUGAUUAAGUUUGUUGUUUACUUUUUCCUUGUAUAGGUCAUGAAGGAAAGGUUAUAACUGUUGAAUUGAGCCUGAUGGUAGACAACUUGCUAGUGGUUCUAGUGAUAUGAUGGUGUGUUUAUGGAUAUUACUAUUCAAACCCCCAAAAUGCACUUAUCCUGACUCGGUGUCUCUGAAAUCCGAAGAAAAGGUUGGGGCAAUAUUCUUAUGGAAUGUUAACUGAACAAACCUAAGUGAAGUUAUCUAGUACGGUGGGGGCAUGAGUACAGCUAAAUCCGCUCUAGAGAGUGACACUGUAGUGUGUAGCUUUCUAGGAAAGAGGGUUAAAGAAGCAUUUGAAGAGGCUCAAUGCGCUUAAGCAUUGGAUGAUUGUCAAGCUUGGUGGUACCUUUGCUCCAUUCAGUGUGUCAAGAUACGAGUGAUACAAACACCACUAUUUGUCUCUGGCAUAAGCAUAUUUCUGCAAGUUUUGUUUGGGACCAGGUUACCGGCAGUCAUUGGUGGUUCUUCUGCUGAUACUGUACCUAUCCUUUGCAUUAUUAGAGACUCAUCUCUACAACGAAUCACUGAACCUCAUGAAAGAUUUUUACACAGUAUGAUGGAAACUCAAGGAGUCCUGAUUGUAGCUGCAAGCUUGCAGAUCAUACUGGGGUUUAGUCUCGUUGUACACAUUUAAUUCGUAUCUAAAGAUUGUGUUGGCAUAUAAUAUAAUUGUAUCUUACUUAGUUCUUCGUGAUUGAAUCACAGGUUUUUGUUAGAAUGUACUAGCUAUCUUGGACAUGAUUCUCUGAACUCAGUAUUUCAUCCUUUUUUGUGUAAUUUUACACUCAAUGGUUAAAAUGAAUGAAUGUUAAAAUUCUCAGUUUGAUUAUAAAUUUCAGUUAAAUUUGAA